rnacentral:rRNA from 1 species
GAUGAACGCUGGCGGCGUGCCUAAUACAUGCAAGUCGAGCGAACAGACGAGAAGCUUGCUUCUCUGUUGUUAGCGGCGCACGGGUGAGUAACACGUGGAUAAUCUACCUAUAAGACUGGGAUAACCUCGGGAAACCGUAGCUAAUACCGGAUAAUAUUUUGCACCGCAUUGUUCAAAAGUGAAAGACGGUCUUGCUGUCACUUAUAGAUGCUUCCCCGCUGCAUUAGCGAGUUGGUAAGUUAACGGCUUACCAAGGCAACGAUGCAUAGCCGACCGGGUAGGAGGAUAGGCGACACUGGAACUGAGACGCGGUCCAGACUCCUAAGAGAGGCAGCAGUAGGGAAUCUGCGGCAGUGGGCGAGAGCCUGACAGAGCGACGCCGCGUGGGUGAUGGAGGUCUUCGGAUCGUAAAACUCUGUUAUUAGGGGAGAACAUAUGUGUAAGUAACUGUGCAGAGCUUGACGGUACUUAAUAAGGAAGCCACGGCUAACUACGUG